rnacentral:rRNA from 1 species
GAUGAACGCUGGCGGCGUGCCUAAUACAUGCCAGUCGAGCGAACAGACGAGGAGCUUGCUCCUCUGACGUUAGCGGCGGACGGGUGAGUAACACGUGGAUAACCUACCUAUAAGACUGGGAUAACUUCGGGAAACCGGAGCUAAUACCGUAUAAUAUAUUGAACCUCAUUGUUCAAUAGUGAAAGACGGUUUUGCUUUCACUUAUAGAUGUAUCCGCGCCGCAUUAUCUAGUUGGUAAGGUAACGGCUUACCAAGGCAACGAUGCGUAGCCGACCUGAGAGGGUGAUCGGCCACACUGGAAGUGAGACAAGGAACAGACGACGAAGGGAGGAAGCAGUAGGGAAUAUUCCGCAAUGGGCGAAAGCUUGACGGAGCAACGCCGAGUGAGGGAUGAAGGUCUUCGGAUCGUAAAACUCUGUUAUUAGGGAAGAACAAAUGUGUAAGUAACUAUGCACGUCUUGACGGUACCUAAUCAGAAAGCCACGGCUAACUACGUG